AUUGAACGCUGGCGGCAGGCCUAACACAUGCAAGUCGAGCGAGCGGCGGACGGGUGAGUAAUGUAUGGGGACUGCCCGAUAGAAAGGGAUAACUACUGUAAACGGUAGCUAAUACCGCAGCCUAUAGGAUAACCCAUAUGGGAUUAGCUAGUAGGUGAGGUAAUGGCUCACAUAGGCGACGAUCCCUACAUGGUCUGAGAGGAUGAUCAGCCACACUGGGACUGAGACACGGCCCAGACGCCUACGGAGGCAGCAGUGGGGAAUAUUGCACAAGGGGCGCAAGCCUGAUGCAGCCAUGCCGAGGGUAUGAAGAAGGCCCUAGGGUUGUAAAGUACUUUCAGUCGGGAGGCGUUACCGACAGAAGAAGCACCGGCUAACUCCGUGCCAGCAGCCGCGGUAAUAC
rnacentral:rRNA from 1 species